ACGGAAGGCAGCAGUGAGGAAUAUUGGUCAAUGGACGGAAGUCUGAACCAGCCAUGCCGCGUGCAGGAAUAAGGCCCUAUGGGUCGUAAACUGCUUUUGUGGUGGAGCAAUAAGGCGUACGUGUACGUCGAUGAGAGUACAUCACGAAUAAGCAUCGGCUAACUCCGUGCCAGCAGCCGCGGUAAUACGGAGGAUGCAAGCGUUAUCCGGAUUUACUGGGUGUAAAGGGCGCGUAGGCGGGGAUGCAAGUCAGGUGUGAAAUCUAUGGGCUUAACCCAUAAACUGCAUUUGAAACUGUAUCUCUUGAGUGUCGGAGAGGUAGAUGGAAUUCCUAGUGUAGCGGUGAAAUGCGUAGAUAUUAGGAGGAACACCAGUGGCGAAGGCGAUCUACUGGACGAUAACUGACGCUGAGGCGCGAAAGCGUGGGGAGCAAACAGGAUUAGAUACCCUGGUA
rnacentral:rRNA from 1 species